UACGAAGGUCCCAAGCGUUAUCCGGAUUUAUUGGGUUUAAAGGGUGCGUAGGCGGGCUAUUAAGUCAGUGGUGAAAGCCCCAAGCUUAACUUGGGAACUGCCAUUGAUACUGAUGGUCUUGAGUACAUUUGAGUGGGCGGAAUGUGUCAUGUAGCGGUGAAAUGCUUAGAUAUGACACAGAACACCGAUUGCGAAGGCAGCUCACUAAACUGUAAA
rnacentral:rRNA from 1 species